UACGUAGGGUGCGAGCGUUGUCCGGAAUUAUUGGGCGUAAAGGGCUCGUAGGCGGUCUGUCGCGUCGGGAGUGAAAACUCAGGGCUUAACCCUGAGCCUGCUUCCGAUACGGGCAGACUAGAGGUAUGCAGGGGAGAACGGAAUUCCUGGUGUAGCGGUGAAAUGCGCAGAUAUCAGGAGGAACACCGGAGGCGAAGGCGGUUCUCUGGGCAUUACCUGACGCUGAGGAGCGAAAGUGUGGGGAGCGAACAGG
rnacentral:rRNA from 1 species